AGGUGAAAGGCAAAGGACUGUAGCGGGGUUCAUAGACAAAAUCAACCUACCAGUGAAUGCAUGCAUCCAGUUCUUUGUUGAGUCUCUCUACAGACAAGGUAACUGUCACUGCAACUCAUACUUCUGGCAGGUGUUGGUUGUAAGUGCAUUGACUGAAGAGAAGACAAACUGGGAAACUAAGACACAAAAGUUGCUGAAAAGUUGAAGAGAGGUUCUUUGAAGUAAGUGCCUGGAAUCUGCAUUGCUAACUGGAGAAGGCUUUCUGCUGAAUUGGUUGGAUCUCGAGAAGCUGAUAUCAUCGGAAGUUGGAUAACUCUGGGCUGAACAUAGAUCAGUUGGCUUGUGAAUGACUGAGGAAAAUUAAAACAGCCUCACACUGUCACUCAAACCAUUCUAGAAGGCAAGCCACACAAGGGAGAGUGGGAGAGAGGAAAGCUUGGACAAGGGCAUAGCUAAACCAGAGUUCUAGAAUCUAGUGCAGGUUUGAUCAAUCAGCAAGAUGAAUGACGAGAAGUCUAAGCAGCCCAUGAUGUCUAUAGAAGACGGAGAAAUGGAGCCAGAAAAUCCCCCAAUGUCCUGUCCUCGGAGAUUUUGGAAAUGGAUGAUUCAGAAAGAGAACUUGCUCCUGAUCCUGACUGUAUUAGGAGUGCUGUUAGGGAUAUUUAUUGGUCUUCUAGCACGACUGGCCGAUCCAGAU